rnacentral:rRNA from 1 species
UAAUACGGAGGAUCCAAGCGUUAUCCGGAUUUAUUGGGUUUAAAGGGUGCGUAGGCGGUCUUAUAAGUCAGUGGUGAAAUACGGCAGCUCAACUGUCGCAGUGCCUUUGAUACUGUAGGACUUGAAUACACUUGAAGUGGGCGGAAUAAGACAAGUAGCGGUGAAAUGCAUAGAUAUGUCUUAGAACUCCGAUUGCGAAGGCAGCUCACUAAGGUGUGAUUGACGCUGAUGCACGAAAGCGUGGGGAUCAAACAGGAUUAGAUACCCUGGUAGUCCACGCCCUAAACGAUGAUAACUCGAUGUUGGCGAUACACAGUCAGCGUCCCAGCGAAAGCGUUAAGUUAUCCACCUGGGGAGUACGGUCGCAAGAUUG